rnacentral:rRNA from 1 species
UACGGAGGGUGCGAGCGUUAUCCGGAAUUACUGGGUUUAAAGGGUGCGUAGGCGGCUAUGUAAGUCAGGAGUGAAAGUUUUGCGGCUCAACCGUAAAAUUGCUUUUGAUACUGCAUAGCUAGAAUUAGGAUGAGGUCAGCGGAAUGUGGCAUGUAGCGGUGAAAUGCAUAGAUAUGCCAUAGAACACCAAUUGCGAAGGCAGCUGGCUAGACCUGGAUUGACGCUGAGGCACGAAAGCGUGGGGAGCAAACAGG